rnacentral:rRNA from 1 species
UACGGGGGGGGCAAGCGUUGUUCGGAAUUACUGGGCGUAAAGGGUUCGUAGGUGGCUUGCUAAGUCAGACGUGAAAUCCCUCGGCUCAACCGGGGAACUGCGUCUGAGACUGGCAAGCUUGAGUGCAGGAGAGGAACGCGGAAUUCCAGGUGUAGCGGUGAAAUGCGUAGAUAUCUGGAGGAACACCGGUGGCGAAGGCGGCGUUCUGGACUGUUACUGACACUGAUGAACGAAAGCCAGGGGAGCAAACGGG